rnacentral:rRNA from 1 species
GUGGGGAAUAUUGCACAAUGGGCGCAAGCCUGAUGCAGCCAUGCCGCGUGUAUGAAGAAGGCCUUCGGGUUGUAAAGUACUUUCAGCGGGGAGGAAGGUGUUGAGGUUAAUAACCUCAGCAAUUGACGUUACCCGCAGAAGAAGCACCGGCUAACUCCGUGCCAGCAGCCGCGGUAAUACGGAGGGUGCAAGCGUUAAUCGGAAUUACUGGGCGUAAAGCGCACGCAGGCGGUCUGUCAAGUCGGAUGUGAAAUCCCCGGGCUCAACCUGGGAACUGCAUUCGAAACUGGCAGGCUAGAGUCUUGUAGAGGGGGGUAGAAUUCCAGGUGUAGCGGUGAAAUGCGUAGAGAUCUGGAGGAAUACCGGUGGCGAAGGCGGCCCCCUGGACAAAGACUGACGCUCAGGUGCGAAAGCGUGGGGAGCAAACAGGAUUAGAAACCCGGGUAGUCC